GACGAACGCUGGCGGCGUGCUUAACACAUGCAAGUCGAACGGAAAGGCCCUGCUUUUGUGGGGUGCUCGAGUGGCGAACGGGUGAGUAACACGUGAGUAACCUGCCCUUGACUUUGGGAUAACUUCAGGAAACUGGGGCUAAUACCGGAUAGGAGCUCCUGCUGCAUGGUGGGGGUUGGAAAGUUUCGGCGGUUGGGGCUGGACUCGCGGCCUAUCAGCUUGUUGGUGGGGUAGUGGCUUACCAAGUCUUUGACGGGUAGCCGGCCUGGGAGGGUGACCGGCCACAUUGGGACUGAGAUACGGCCCAGACUCCUACGGGAGGCAGAAGUGGGGAAUAUUGCACAAUGGGCGGAAGCCUGAUGCAGCAACGCCGCGUGCGGGAUGACGGCCUUCGGGUUGUAAACCGCUUUCGCCUGUGACGAAGCGUGAGUGACGGUAAUGGGUAAAGAAGCACCGGCUAACUACGUG
rnacentral:rRNA from 1 species